rnacentral:rRNA from 4 species
GGGUUGUGAGGUUAAGCGACUAAGCGUACACGGUGGAUGCCCUGGCAGUCAGAGGCGAUGAAGGACGUGCUAAUCUGCGAUAAGCGUCGGUAAGGUGAUAUGAACCGUUAUAACCGGCGAUUUCCGAAUGGGGAAACCCAGUGUGUUUCGACACACUAUCAUUAACUGAAUCCAUAGGUUAAUGAGGCGAACCGGGGGAACUGAAACAUCUAAGUACCCCGAGGAAAAGAAAUCAACCGAGAUUCCCCCAGUAGCGGCGAGCGAACGGGGAGCAGCCCAGAGCCUGAAUCAGUGUGUGUGUUAGUGGAAGCGUCUGGAAAGGCGCGCGAUACAGGGUGACAGCCCCGUACACAAAAAUGCACAUGCUGUGAGCUCGAUGAGUAGGGCGGGACACGUGGUAUCCUGUCUGAAUAUGGGGGGACCAUCCUCCAAGGCUAAAUACUCCUGACUGACCGAUAGUGAACCAGUACCGUGAGGGAAAGGCGAAAAGAACCCCGGCGAGGGGAGUGAAAAAGAACCUGAAACCGUGUACGUACAAGCAGUGGGAGCACGCUUAGGCGUGUGACUGCGUACCUUUUGUAUAAUGGGUCAGCGACUUAUAUUCUGUAGCAAGGUUAACCGAAUAGGGGAGCCGAAGGGAAACCGAGUCUUAACUGGGCGUUAAGUUGCAGGGUAUAGACCCGAAACCCGGUGAUCUAGCCAUGGGCAGGUUGAAGGUUGGGUAACACUAACUGGAGGACCGAACCGACUAAUGUUGAAAAAUUAGCGGAUGACUUGUGGCUGGGGGUGAAAGGCCAAUCAAACCGGGAGAUAGCUGGUUCUCCCCGAAAGCUAUUUAGGUAGCGCCUCGUGAAUUCAUCUCCGGGGGUAGAGCACUGUUUCGGCAAGGGGGUCAUCCCGACUUACCAACCCGAUGCAAACUGCGAAUACCGGAGAAUGUUAUCACGGGAGACACACGGCGGGUGCUAACGUCCGUCGUGAAGAGGGAAACAACCCAGACCGCCAGCUAAGGUCCCAAAGUCAUGGUUAAGUGGGAAACGAUGUGGGAAGGCCCAGACAGCCAGGAUGUUGGCUUAGAAGCAGCCAUCAUUUAAAGAAAGCGUAAUAGCUCACUGGUCGAGUCGGCCUGCGCGGAAGAUGUAACGGGGCUAAACCAUGCACCGAAGCUGCGGCAGCGACGCUUAUGCGUUGUUGGGUAGGGGAGCGUUCUGUAAGCCUGCGAAGGUGUGCUGUGAGGCAUGCUGGAGGUAUCAGAAGUGCGAAUGCUGACAUAAGUAACGAUAAAGCGGGUGAAAAGCCCGCUCGCCGGAAGACCAAGGGUUCCUGUCCAACGUUAAUCGGGGCAGGGUGAGUCGACCCCUAAGGCGAGGCCGAAAGGCGUAGUCGAUGGGAAACAGGUUAAUAUUCCUGUACUUGGUGUUACUGCGAAGGGGGGACGGAGAAGGCUAUGUUGGCCGGGCGACGGUUGUCCCGGUUUAAGCGUGUAGGCUGGUUUUCCAGGCAAAUCCGGAAAAUCAAGGCUGAGGCGUGAUGACGAGGCACUACGGUGCUGAAGCAACAAAUGCCCUGCUUCCAGGAAAAGCCUCUAAGCAUCAGGUAACAUCAAAUCGUACCCCAAACCGACACAGGUGGUCAGGUAGAGAAUACCAAGGCGCUUGAGAGAACUCGGGUGAAGGAACUAGGCAAAAUGGUGCCGUAACUUCGGGAGAAGGCACGCUGAUAUGUAGGUGA